CGUGUAGGCGGUUGUUUAAGUCUGAUGUGAAAGCCCUGGGCUCAACCCAGGAAGUGCAUUGGAAACUGAACAACUUGAGUACGGGAGAGGAAAGUGGAAUUCCGAGUGUAGGGGUGAAAUCCGUAGAUAUUCGGAGGAACACCAGUGGCGAAGGCGGCUUUCUGGACCGAUACUGACGCUGAGACGCGAAAGCGUGGGGAGCAAACAGGACUAGAUACCCUGGUAGUCC
rnacentral:rRNA from 1 species